AUGAACCGUUAAAACCGGCGAUUUCCGAAUGGGGAAACCCAGUGUUUUUCGAAAAACUAUCAUUAACUGAAUCCAUAGGUUAAUGAGGCGAACCGGGGGAACUGAAACAUCUAAGUACCCCGAGGAAAAGAAAUCAACCGAGAUUCCCCCAGUAGCGGCGAGCGAACGGGGAGGAGCCCAGAGCCUGAAUCAGUGUGUGUGUUAGUGGAAGCGUCUGGAAAGGCGCGCGAUACAGGGUGACAGCCCCGUACACAAAAAUGCACAUAUUGUGAGCUCGAUGAGUAGGGCGGGACACGUGGUAUCCUGUCUGAAUAUGGGGGGACCAUCCUCCAAGGCUAAAUACUCCUGACUGACCGAUAGUGAACCAGUACCGUGAGGGAAAGGCGAAAAGAACCCCGGCGAGGGGAGUGAAAAAGAACCUGAAACCGUGUACGUACAAGCAGUGGGAGCCUCUUAAUGGGGUGACUGCGUACCUUUUGUAUAAUGGGUCAGCGACUUAUAUUCUGUAGCAAGGUUAACCGAAUAGGGGAGCCGAAGGGAAACCGAGUCUUAACUGGGCGUUAAGUUGCAGGGUAUAGACCCGAAACCCGGUGAUCUAGCCAUGGGCAGGUUGAAGGUUGGGUAACACUAACUGGAGGACCGAACCGACUAAUGUUGAAAAAUUAGCGGAUGACUUGUGGCUGGGGGUGAAAGGCCAAUCAAACCGGGAGAUAGCUGGUUCUCCCCGAAAGCUAUUUAGGUAGCGCCUCGUGAAUUCAUCUCCGGGGGUAGAGCACUGUUUCGGCAAGGGGGUCAUCCCGACUUACCAACCCGAUGCAAACUGCGAAUACCGGAGAAUGUUAUCACGGGAGACACACGGCGGGUGCUAACGUCCGUCGUGAAGAGGGAAACAACCCAGACCGCCAGCUAAGGUCCCAAAGUCAUGGUUAAGUGGGAAACGAUGUGGGAAGGCCCAGACAGCCAGGAUGUUGGCUUAGAAGCAGCCAUCAUUUAAAGAAAGCGUAAUAGCUCACUGGUCGAGUCGGCCUGCGCGGAAGAUGUAACGGGGCUAAACCAUGCACCGAAGCUGCGGCAGCGACACUAUGUGUUGUUGGGUAGGGGAGCGUUCUGUAAGCCUGUGAAGGUGGCCUGUGAGGGUUGCUGGAGGUAUCAGAAGUGCGAAUGCUGACAUAAGUAACGAUAAAGCGGGUGAAAAGCCCGCUCGCCGGAAGACCAAGGGUUCCUGUCCAACGUUAAUCGGGGCAGGGUGAGUCGACCCCUAAGGCGAGGCCGAAAGGCGUAGUCGAUGGGAAACAGGUUAAUAUUCCUGUACUUGGUGUUACUGCGAAGGGGGGACGGAGAAGGCUAUGUUGGCCGGGCGACGGUUGUCCCGGUUUAAGCGUGUAGGCUGGUUUUCCAGGCAAAUCCGGAAAAUCAAGGCUGAGGCGUGAUGACGAGGCACUACGGUGCUGAAGCGACAAAUGCCCUGCUUCCAGGAAAAGCCUCUAAGCAUCAGGUAACAUCAAAUCGUACCCCAAACCGACACAGGUGGUCAGGUAGAGAAUACCAAGGCGCUUGAGAGAACUCGGGUGAAGGAACUAGGCAAAAUGGUGCCGUAACUUCGGGAGAAGGCACGCUGAUAUGUAGGUGAAGCGACUUGCUCGUGGAGCUGAAAUCAGUCGAAGAUACCAGCUGGCUGCAACUGUUUAUUAAAAACACAGCACUGUGCAAACACGAAAGUGGACGUAUACGGUGUGACGCCUGCCCGGUGCCGGAAGGUUAAUUGAUGGGGUUAGCGGUAACGCGAAGCUCUUGAUCGAAGCCCCGGUAAACGGCGGCCGUAACUAUAACGGUCCUAAGGUAGCGAAAUUCCUUGUCGGGUAAGUUCCGACCUGCACGAAUGGCGUAAUGAUGGCCAGGCUGUCUCCACCCGAGACUCAGUGAAAUUGAACUCGCUGUGAAGAUGCAGUGUACCCGCGGCAAGACGGAAAGACCCCGUGAACCUUUACUAUAGCUUGACACUGAACAUUGAGCCUUGAUGUGUAGGAUAGGUGGGAGGCUUUGAAGUGUGGACGCCAGUCUGCAUGGAGCCGACCUUGAAAUACCACCCUUUAAUGUUUGAUGUUCUAACGUGGGCCCCUUACCGGGGUUGCGGACAGUGUCUGGUGGGUAGUUUGACUGGGGCGGUCUCCUCCUAAAGAGUAACGGAGGAGCACGAAGGUUGGCUAAUCCUGGUCGGACAUCAGGAGGUUAGUGCAAUGGCAUAAGCCAGCUUGACUGCGAGCGUGACGGCGCGAGCAGGUGCGAAAGCAGGUCAUAGUGAUCCGGUGGUUCUGAAUGGAAGGGCCAUCGCUCAACGGAUAAAAGGUACUCCGGGGAUAACAGGCUGAUACCGCCCAAGAGUUCAUAUCGACGGCGGUGUUUGGCACCUCGAUGUCGGCUCAUCACAUCCUGGGGCUGAAGUAGGUCCCAAGGGUAUGGCUGUUCGCCAUUUAAAGUGGUACGCGAGCUGGGUUUAGAACGUCGUGAGACAGUUCGGUCCCUAUCUGCCGUGGGCGCUGGAGAACUGAGGGGGGCUGCUCCUAGUACGAGAGGACCGGAGUGGACGCAUCACUGGUGUUCGGGUUGUCAUGCCAAUGGCACUGCCCGGUAGCUAAAUGCGGAAGAGAUAAGUGCUGAAAGCAUCUAAGCACGAAACUUGCCCCGAGAUGAGUUCUCCCUGACUCCUUGAGAGUCCUGAAGGAACGUUGAAGACGACGACGUUGAUAGGCCGGGUGUGUAAGCGCAGCGAUGCGUUGAGCUAACCGGUACUAAUGAACCGUGAGGCUUAACCUU
rnacentral:rRNA from 1 species